AUGCUUGAUGCUCCUUUCAAGAACCUUAAAACAACAAAAUAAAAAGAUCUUAGUAUCUUAGGGAAAUGAAAUCAUAAGAAAUAACUACAUAUUAAUUGUUAUAUUAGCGAAAGGGUAUGGUUAGAAAUUAUAGCUCUGUACUGAGAACAAUAAAACAAGCAUAUGCAUGUCAUACAUCAACACAACAGAUCAGGAAUUCUUCGCUUACAAUCACUAAAAUAAUAUUGAAAGAGGCAUACAAACAUUACUCCAAAAGACAUAAAUA
rnacentral:misc_RNA from 1 species